GGAUGCGAUCAUACCAGCACUAAAGCACCGGAUCCCAUCAGAACUCCGAAGUUAAGUGCUUGGGCGAGAGUAGUACUAGGAUGGGUGACCUCCUGGGAAGUCCUCGUGUUGCAUCCC
rnacentral:rRNA from 1 species